rnacentral:ribozyme from 1 species
AUUUCAAGUUGCAUUCCUCGAGAUGCUGAGAUCCCUCGUCACUACCGUUGAUGAUUAGGAACUAAUUUUCUUUCCAUCGUUGUUCCCACUGGCUGCAUUCCAAAAUUGCAUUCCCAUUUUCCAUCAUCCAUCUUCAGUACGCAAUGGAUAUUGCACGGCAGAGCAGAAAUAAGCUUCAAUGACUUUAAUGAUAUCAUCAUUGAUGCAUUUUGUUAACACGUCAACACCGAUCGAGUGCAUCAUCAUAAUGAAUCAUGAUAAUCUGUCAAUA